AAACUUGACACAUCACUCAAGCGCAUAAGAUCUAGAAAGAACCAACUAAUGCAAGAAUCUAUUUCAAUAUUGCACAAAAAGGAAAAGGCAUUGCAAGAGGAGAACAGGCAGCUAGCAAAUAAGGAAAGGGGAAGACCUUUAAUAACACUAGAGUGAAGCAUAGAGUGAAGGGGUCGAUUAAUAGAAGAAGAUGGGG